rnacentral:rRNA from 1 species
GACGAACGCUGGCGGCGUGCUUAACACAUGCAAGUCGAACGGAAAGGCCCUGCUUUUGUGGGGUGCUCGAGUGGCGAACGGGUGAGUAACACGUGAGUAACCUGCCCUUGACUUUGGGAUAACUUCAGGAAACUGGGGCUAAUACCGGAUAGGGGCUCCUGCUGCAUGGUGGGGGUUGGAAAGUUUCGGCGGUUGGGGAUGGACUCGCGGCUUAUCAGCUUGUUGGUGGGGUAGUGGCUUACCAAGGCUUUGACGGGUAGCCGGCCUGAGAGGGUGACCGGCCACAUUGGGACUGAGAUACGGCCCAGACUCCUACGGGAGGCAGCAGUGGGGAAUAUUGCACAAUGGGCGGAAGCCUGAUGCAGCAACGCCGCGUGCGGGAUGACGGCCUUCGGGUUGUAAACCGCUUUCGCCUGUGACGAAGCGUGAGUGACGGUAAUGAGUAAAGAAGCACCGGCUAACUACGUG